GCCUCAGGCCGCCCUCGACCGUCACCGAGAAGCGACGCAACACGUCGGCGGCCGAGAACAGCGAUGCACGGUCAUUCCUCGUACAACCGGACCUCUAACAAUGAACCAGUAUAUGAGAAAGAAAACCAGUCUCGUUACCUUAGACUCACACCCUCACCCCAGCAGGAAAUGUAACUGUCGAGGGGUGCCAAGAGAAGGAGUUUCAGGUCAGGGAAGCGAGCUGUGGGAAGCCAGAAACCACUCACCCCACCAAGAGGAAGAGCAGAGAGCAGUCUACUCCAGGCAGCCGGUUCAGCUUAAGAGCCAUACAGUCUCAUCCAUCUGCCAUCUUACAUCCCACCCCCCAACUCCCACCCAGGCUGGCCUCUGCUAUCUUCAGCCCCUGGGAUCCACCUUGGCUGUACAAGGUCAUAGCUUCCAGCUUGAGCCCACCCAGCCAGCUGUUCAAACCCUAAACCCUAUAGUGAGUGCCUGUGCAGCCAGAAAGCCUGCCCAGAUACUGCAACUGCACCCACAAGGCCAAGCGUUCAGACUGGCCGUGGUUGCUGACCCCUACCCAGACCGUGUGCACCCCCUGGCUCCUGAUCUCUCCCCGCCAGGAUAGAACUGUGGUCCUCUGUCUGAUCUUCACUAUGCCUCCUUGAGCAUACACACACACAGAGUGAGUGUAUGCUUUAUCUGCACUUGGACAAACAGCUAGUGGCCAAAGUGACGUGGUCACAGGCAUGCUGUCCAAAGGGCAGGUCUGUCCUCCUCACCUCCCAGCUGCCAUGUACUGAGAACUUCAGUCCUGGCAUCUGGUCCCAGCUUUCUAACUCUUGCAAGAUAGAUGAUUGGCAGAACUUACCACCUCUCUGGCAGCAGACACGCCUACCUCACUUCACCUGAGGGGACCAGGGUGCAGCAUGGGAGAAAGGUCAUGAUCCCAGGGUCGUAGGAUGGAGCCCCGCAUCGGGCGUGCGCUGGGCAUAGAGGCUGC